GAGUGAGGAGCAUCCAAAAUUUAAGUUUUUAUUUCCGGAAAACAAAAAUUCAGUAAUUCAGUGUACAAAAAAAAAAAUUGUUUCCUAGUUUAAAAUUUGUUUGUUACUUUUUGGACACACGAACUCAAAGAAUGACUCUUGGGAAGGGAAGGCGGCUCUUCAAAUAAAGAAAGGCGAUCGUGAUGGUACCGGGAUAUCCAAACAAAUACUCCCCCAGUUCGGAUUACCAGUGGCUUGCAUCAAUAUUAAUAAUCACUAUAUUAAGCACUAUAUUAAGCACAGAGAAAGGGAAGGAACGAAAUGGAAGGAUGGUGACCCUUCAGACGAGAGAAGGACAUCGUGAUGGUACCUGGAAUAUCCGAUCAGUUAUUCCCUCAGUUCGGAUAUACAGUGGCUCGCAUCAAUACCAAAUAAACAUUAUGCAACGAGAUCAAGAACGAAUAAAUCACUAUAUUAAGCACUAUAUUAAGCACAGAGAAAGGGAAGGAAGGAAAUGGAAGGAUGGUGAUCCUUCAGACGAGGGAAGGACAUCGUGAUGGUACCUGGAAUAUCCGAUCAGUUAUUCCCUCAGUUCGGAUAUACAGUGGCUUCCAUCAAUACCAAAUAAACAUUAUGCAACGAGAUCAAGACCGAAUAAAUCACUAUAUUAAGCACUAUAUUAAGCACAGAGAAAGGGAAGGAAGGAAAUGGAAGGAUGGUGAUCCUUCAGACGAAGGAAGGACAUCGUGAUGGUACCUGGAAUAUCCGAUCAGUUAUUCCCUCAGUUCGCAUAUACAGUGGCUUCCAUCAAUACCAAAUAAACAUUAUGCAACGAGAUCAAGACCGAAUAAAUCACUAUAUUAAGCACUAUAUUAAGCACAGAGAAAGGGAAGGAAGGAAAUGGAAGGAUGGUGAUCCUUCAGACGAAGGAAGGACAUCGUGAUGGUACCUGGAAUAUCCGAUCAGUUAUUCCCUCAGUUCGGAUAUACAGUGGCUCGCAUCAAUACCAAAUAAACAUUAUGCAACGAGAUCAAGACCGAAUAAAUCACUAUAUUAAGCACUAUAUUAAGCACUAUAUUAAGCACUAUAUUAAGCACUAUAUUAAGCACAGAGAAAGGGAAGGAAGGAAAUGGAAGGAUGGUGAUCCUUCAGACGAGGGAAGGACAUCGUGAUGGUACCUGGAAUAUCCGAUCAGUUAUUCCCUCAGUUCGGAUAUACAGUGGCUCGCAUCAAUACCAAAUAAACAUUAUGCAACGAAAUCAAGACCGAAUAAAUCACUAUAUUAAGCACUAUAUUAAGCACUAUAUUAAGCACUAUAUUAAGCACAGAGAAAGGGAAGGAAGGAAAUGGAAGGAUGGUGAUCCUUCAGACGAAGGAAGGACAUCGUGAUGGUACCUGGAAUAUCCGAUCAGUUAUUCCCUCAGUUCGCAUAUACAGUGGCUUCCAUCAAUACCAAAUAAACAUUAUGCAACGAGAUCAAGACCGAAUAAAUCACUAUAUUAAGCACUAUAUUAAGCACAGAGAAAGGGAAGGAAGGAAAUGGAAGGAUGGUGAUCCUUCAGACGAAGGAAGGACAUCGUGAUGGUACCUGGAAUAUCCGAUCAGUUAUUCCCUCAGUUCGGAUAUACAGUGGCUUCCAUCAAUACCAAAUAAACAUUAUGCAACGAGAUCAAGACCGAAUAAAUCACUAUAUUAAGCACUAUAUUAAGCACAGAGAAAGGGAAGGAAGGAAAUGGAAGGAUGGUGAUCCUUCAGACGAAGGAAGGACAUCGUGAUGGUACCUGGAAUAUCCGAUCAGUUAUUCCCUCAGUUCGGAUAUACAGUGGCUUCCAUCAAUACCAAAUAAACAUUAUGCAACGAGAUCAAGACCGAAUAAAUCACUAUAUUAAGCACUAUAUUAAGCACAGAGAAAGGGAAGGAAGGAAAUGGAAGGAUGGUGAUCCUUCAGACGAAGGAAGGACAUCGUGAUGGUACCUGGAAUAUCCGAUCAGUUAUUCCCUCAGUUCGGAUAUACAGUGGCUCGCAUCAAUACCAAAUAAACAUUAUGCAACGAGAUCAAGACCGAAUAAAUCACUAUAUUAAGCACUAUAUUAAGCACAGAGAAAGGGAAGGAAGGAAAUGGAAGGAUGGUGAUCCUUCAGACGAAGGAAGGACAUCGUGAUGGUACCUGGAAUAUCCGAUCAGUUAUUCCCUCAGUUCGGAUAUACAGUGGCUCGCAUCAAUAUUAAUAAUCACUAUAUUAAGCACUAUAUUAAGCACAGAGAAAGGGAAGGAAGGAAAUGGAAGGAUGGUGAUCCUUCAGACGAAGGAAGGACAACGUGAUGGUACCUGGAAUAUCCGAUCAGUUAUUCCCUCAGUUCGGAUAUACAGUGGGUCGCAUCAAUACCAAAUAAACAUUAUGCAACGA
rnacentral:sRNA from 1 species